rnacentral:misc_RNA from 1 species
AAGGAUAUUACGGAAUGACCWUUAGGUCAUGGAAUUARCGUGGACAUAUUGUAUUCAGUUUUGAAUGUUUAUUUAACAUUCAUCAUUGCACAUUGAAAACUAGAUAAGUAAGCAAAUAGAUUUUACCAAGCAAAAAACCGAGUGAAUUUCUAACGAAAUUCAACAAGCUUAAUAAUCGCGCGUCGUCUUUUUAGACGACAUCACAGAUUAAUAACAGUUAUUUUCUUAAACAUUUAUGUAUAAGGAAAUAUUA